CACACAGAAAAACACGGAACAUGACAAGCAGUGAUCCCGGGGUUGGGAGGCGUUCACUGUCCCAAAAAUAAGCAGAUGUAAACAUUUUCACAGUUCGACUUUUACAAAUAUUACUAGUUCUGAGUAAACCUAGGGUUCUCAAACUUCAUGUUCAAACAUCCAAACUGGAUAUUGAGGAAAAGGUCCGGAACAACUGGUGAUGAGCAAAUCACUUCUAUUAUUUUCUUACGACCCGCUGAUCAAAUGUAUGUUUUUUAAUGGUGAGAACUGAUAAGUUUUUGACCUUAAGCUGCUCUAAUGUCUGACAGUGAACUGAAAUGUAAUUGAUUAAAAGGGGAAGUAUCAUGUAAAAUUGACUGAGCUUUACAUCAUAUUAUAAUGAUCAAAACAAAAACAUAUCUGGAGUGUUGGUUUCAUUCUUUGACGCAUGCUUGAGAAAUCCUUUGAACUCCAUGGCAACUGGUCAGCUGUUCAACAUGCCUGGGUAGACCUUAGCUCCGCCUACGAGGACAAAGCUCCUCCUCAGAGCUGCAGCUUCCAAGCUUCCCGAUCACAGAGCAGCCCCCCCACUCAGAUCCUUCAGCCUAGCCAGCAGCAAUUAGCAAACACCUGCUGUAACUGUGCAUACUGAGCUCGUUAUAAGUGUUACUUCUCAGUGCAAAGCUGGUAAAAUGUUGUUAUAGGGCUAACUGAGGAGUGACGUGAUGACUUCCUGAAAGCGGAGUUUCAGAAAGACUUUAAAAAAACGGAGUACCAAUUUCAAGGUUUUAAAUUAUGAAGUCAAAUUUCUUAUAAGUCAUACGUCAUAUAUGUAGCAUUUUUAUAACAACUGAAGUUAACAGUUAUGUGAUUGUGCUAUAAAUUGGCACUAGGUGCCUGUGAAACAUUGUUCCUUUAAGACAUUUCUGUUUCACCUUGAUCAACUUAAUCACUUUUUAUUCGCUUACUGCAAAUUCAGAGUAAAAACCACUUGGUGCUUCUGAUUUCCUGAACUAAACCAUUUCACCUCCAUUGAGUCAGACUUUAUUGUAUCUUAAAGAGGUUUUAAUUAUGAGUACUCUGCGCCUAAAGCAAGUCUUGCGGAGUUGUUCUUUUUUUUCAGUUUUAUUUCUCAGUUUCUGUUCUUUUCUUGCAAUUGUAUUAUGAUGUGUUUCUAAAAAUACAAGAUAAUAAUAAUAAUAAUAAUAAUAAUGAUCACAUGGCGUAAAACAGCAUCUGGAACUGAUGACUUUAAGACAUACGAAGUAAAGAAAGUUAAAGUUUUUCUGGAAUCACAUCAUUUGUGCUAAAACUUUACUUUCCCAUCUUUUGGCUCUUUUAUUUUUUUUUUUUUACAGAAGAAAUUGAAACAAAUUGUCUUUGUGACAGGCUGCUGAUAAUAAAGUGCUAAAGAUCUUUUUUUUAUUAUUAUUAUUUUAACUGGUUUUCUGUGUGUGUGUAUUCUCAACAUUAGUGACUCUCUUCAGAUUUGCAACCUUUUUUCUGUCAGUGAUCUCCAGGUCAAAAGCCCUCAGACCCUGCAGCGCAUGCAUACAGACACACGUCGAUGUGCAGAGAGACGUAAAAUUACAAAACCCCAGGAAGACAAAAAGAGAAGUCUGUGUGGACUCACUGUGGUUUAACGCUAAAAAAGCAAACCCGUCAAAACCUGUGGUCACUGAUCGCACAAACGCGCUUUUGGUGCACCAGCAAAUCCUCUCAGCACAUCAGCAGCAGCUUGCAGAGCGACUGGACCUUAAACUUUAAAAGAACAAAAAAAAAACAAACAAACUGAUUUUACUUUUGCUUUAAGAUUCUCAAAACUCCCAGCAUUGAGUGAGAACUCAGCUUUGAGUUCAAUCGUCCGUUUUAACACAUCGUCACAGUGAGUCACAGCUCCCCAUAAAUAAUUAAGAGUUAAUACGAUGCCACUUAAACUUGACACCUUUUGAUGUCAGAGCUCUUCACAGCCUUUGCAGCAGCGUCAGAGAAAGGAGGGGAAAAAGAGGAACGCAAGGCAGAGAGUGCAGCCGCUUUGUGAUCGGCUGAUUCUCCCCCGUGACACAGCAGCCGGGGAGGAGGCGACUCCGGCUCCAUGGCCUCCCUGUUCACCCAACUCGAGGUGUGGACCAUCAUGUUCUCCAUCCUGGUUUUUGCGCUCUUCACACUCGCUGGGAUGAUCAGCGAGGAAUGUCCGCACACUGAAGAAACUACUGACAGAACCCAGAGUCAGGAGAUGUCGGUGUGACUCAUCUGCUAAUGCUCAGCUUGUGAGAAAAACUCAGCCUGUUCCUGUCCCAGUGUAACCUGCUUCUUCCAGGAUGAGGCACAAAGGAGUGGCCAAAUUGUUCAACUAAAAAAUGCAAUAAAGAGACACCUGCUGAAACAAAGUGGCUCACAACAGCAUCACCUGGCCGCUCGCCCUGCAGGAUGUCCAGAGACAGCACCGGGAGAUUCCUCUGUGAACUUUGAACCUGGAAAACAGACCGUGUGUCUCUCCCAUCA